AGCAGCCGCGGUAAUUCCAGCUCCAAUAGCGUAUAUUAAAGUUGUUGCAGUUAAAAAGCUCGUAGUUGAAUUUCGGGGUCAGUAGUUUGGUCAUGCCACAGGUAUGUACUGAUCUUACUGAUUCCUCCUUCCUGAUGAACCGUAAUGCCAUUAAUUUGGUGUUGCGGGGAAACUGGACUGUUACUUUGAAAAAUUAGAGUGUUUAAAGCAGGCUAACGCUUGAAUACAUUAGCAUGGAAUAAUGAAAUAGGACGUUCGAUCCUAUUUUGUUGGUUUCUAGGAUUGACGUAAUGAUUAAUAGGGAUAGUUGGGGGCAUUAGUAUUCAAUUGUCAGAGGUGAAAUUCUUGGAUUUAUUGAAGACUAACUACUGCGAAAGCAUUUGCCAAGGAUGUUUUCAUUAAUCAAGAACGAAAGUUAGGGGAUCGAAGACGAUCAGAUACCGUCGUAGU
rnacentral:rRNA from 1 species